UUUCAAUUCAACAAAUAUGAUGGUGUAGUUUGAAAUAAGAUAUUAUGACUUCUUGUGAUCAUAAAAGAGCGGAUUACUAUAGCUUCCAAUAAAGGAUUGUAAUCUAAUACGCACAGUUCAAUCUGGAAGAGAUACUUUUAAACAGGUCCUCGGAUAAUCUGAGGGAGUCAACAAUGCCGAAUACCAAAACUUCAGGUGUGCACAACGGGGGGAGUUCCGACAAUAAUGACUAUUACGUCGACAAGAAAGAAAGGCCUACUAGCGAGGUAUAUGAAAAUAAAGGAUUCGAAAAAAGCGAAGAGGAUAUCAAUGUUACGACAAUCUCAGAUGGAAAAGACACGCCAACAAAGGGUUCGAAUGGCCACCUCUUGAAUUCAUAUAGUGGAACAGAUGAAACCUCGUUUGUUAAUCAAAAUGGUUCGAAUGGCCAUCACUUGAAUUCAUAUAGUGGGACAGAUGAGACCUCAUCUGAUGAAAGAAACGGAUAUAGAGCCAUUAAAAAUGGCGACAUAGAAGCAUCCAAGAAUGAUGCUGCUGGUAAAGAACCGUAUGACAAUCUAGAUGAGCCAAAUCCCAACUGCUGUAUUGCAGCUAUUGGAAGAGCACAGGGGACGCUUGAUGCAUUUUACAAGACCCAUGGAACACUAAUAUGGCGUGUAAUUGGAGCCAUUCUACUUCUUGGCUACGCAGCAUACUUUGGAUAUGCCAUGUAUCAUCGAUUCGGAGAUGAAGGAUCAGUACGACUUCUUGCGAUGACAGGCUUUGCAGUAUUCUGUGUCGCAUAUUCAUUGAUCAAAACUCAUCUCGGUGACCACAUUUAUAAUGGAUGCAUCGAGCCUGUUGUUGGCUUCCUUGUCAAACAUUGGAAAUAUCUAAAGUGGGUCGGGGUCUUCCUCAUAGUUGGUGGAUUCACUGCGUAUAUCAUAGCAGAUAUUGCUAUAAAAUAUUCCACUAACCUAAUUUCGUUGAGCGGUAUGGUGGUCUUUAUACUUCUUCUGUUCAUAUUCUCGCACAAUCCCGCGAGAGUUAGAUGGAGGCCGGUAUUCUUUGGUCUGACUCUACAGAUGGUGUUCGCCCUUCUUAUCCUGAGAACGUCGGCUGGCUGUGAGACAUUCAAAUGGCUAGGCAGUCGUGUAUCUGAAUUCCUGGCGCACACAGAUGCCGGAUCCAGAUUUGUGUUUGGCGAUUCAUUUGAAGACCAUCGGUUUGCUUUUAAGAUCCUGCCAGUUGUCAUCUUCUUCAGUUGUUUCAUCUCUGUGUUGUACUAUUUGGGCGUUAUGCAACUGGUCAUAGGUAAGGUUGCCUGGGUGAUGCAAGCUACCAUGGGAACCACUGCCGCGGAGUCUGUCAAUGCUGCUGGGAACAUAUUUGUUGGUAUGACCGAAGCCCCAUUGUUGAUACGGCCGUUAAUCAAUGACAUGACAAAGUCCGAGCUACACGCUGUAAUGACGGGAGGGUUUGCAACAAUAGCAGGGAGUGUGCUUGCCUCGUUUAUUCUGUUCGGUGUUCCUGCCAAUCACCUCCUCUCUGCCUCUGUGAUGGCCGCCCCAGCAGCUCUGGCCACAUCUAAAUUGUUCUAUCCCGAGACCGAAGAGUCGAAGACUACAGCCACGAAUGUACAAGUAAUGGAGAAGAGUGAUCAUACAAACAUCAUAGAGGCGGCCUCAAGUGGAGCUUCUUCGGCCAUUUCUCUGGUGGCAAACAUCGGGGCCAAUCUCAUAGCUUUCCUUGCAAUGCUGGCCUUCAUUAAUGCAACUCUCACGUGGUUCGGCGCAAGAGUGGGGCUGGAGCCCCCAAACUACCCCGCUCUAACAUUUCAGUUCAUCAUGUCGUAUCUUCUGUGGCCAGCGGCUUUCCUAAUGGGCGUCCGUUGGCAGGACUGUCGCACUGUUGCCCAGUUAAUCGGAGUGAAAACCUUCCUGAACGAGUUCGUGGCCUACACCGACCUUGGUGUGAUUAUCAAUAAUAGACGUGCCCUGCAGAACUAUACAAUGAUAUAUAAUGAGACUGGAAUAGAACAAAGAAGCAACGGAGAUAUAUUUCUAGGGAAUACAAACACGACGUUGGUUGGUGGAGUGAUUGAGGAGCGUUCUGAAGUAAUCUCAACAUAUGCUUUAUGUGGGUUUGCUAAUAUUGGCGCUAUUGGUAUAAUGUUAGGAGGACUAGGCUCAAUGGCGCCGAACCGAAAAGGGGAGCUCUCCAAGAUGGCGGUCAGGGCGAUGAUCGCUGGGAUGACUGCUAACUUUCUCACGGCCAGCAUAGCAGGGCUUUUGUAUCAAGGUAGCGUAUCAAAGUGCUAAAGAGACACGGAGCUCCAACACACGUGUACAUAGAAGAAUACAUACUAGACUAUGUAUUACUAUAAGUAGCUCAGCAGACAGGAUGAUGGCGAAUUCAACUCAUCAUUGAUUUGAGACAUAAUCAUAAAAACGCUGGUUUCAUAAAUUGGAUAUCUCAUCCAAACGAAACUAAAUAUAAAACAUGAUAUAGACAUGGAAUGGCUUAAGGAAUGGCUUAAGGAAUGAUACAUUAUGAUGUUCAUAAAAUGAAAGCAACUAUAAAACGCAGCAGUGUAUUUGAUGUGACAGAGCAAGCUGGAUAUAUCUGAAUAUUCCUGGAGCUCCUCAAACUGUGAUUAUAUACUUAUGGAGCAAGCAUUUGAUUGAUGGACCAGCGCAAUCAAAGGGCCCGAUGAGAUAUACUAUAAUAAACAAUGAUUGGUACUUAGGUAACCAUGUCCGGGCUACCGAACGAAUCGUCGUGAUGAACAAAAAUGAUCGAUUGAAACUGCAUAUGAUGAUCAUAAUAAAUGUAAAUAUUAAUAUCAUGACCAUACGCUUAUGAACUUUGUUCAUCUUGAACUGAAAUUUUGCUGAAAAUAUGAAUUGUGGAAUUGUGAAAUGGGGAGUUUAUGGUCAAAUAAGAAAUACUCGGAUUUUAUAAAUUCAGAUAGUUUCAGCAUAAAACAAAGCCAAAAUCGUUUGUUUGUAUAAUUAUUAAAAGAUAGAAUAAACAACACAUUUUUCUUAA
rnacentral:misc_RNA from 1 species